rnacentral:rRNA from 1 species
AGUGAACGCUGGCGGUAGGCCUAACACAUGCAAGUCGAACGGCAGCACAGUAAGAGCUUGCUCUUACGGGUGGCGAGUGGCGGACGGGUGAGGAAUACAUCGGAAUCUACUUUUUCGUGGGGGAUAACGUAGGGAAACUUACGCUAAUACCGCAUACGACCUACGGGUGAAAGCAGGGGAUCUUCGGACCUUGCGCGAUUGAAUGAGCCGAUGUCGGAUUAGCUAGUUGGCGGGGUAAAGGCCCACCAAGGCGACGAUCCGUAGCUGGUCUGAGAGGAUGAUCAGCAACACUGGAACUGAGAACCGGUCCAGACUCCUACGGGAGGAAGCAGGGGGGAAUAUUGGAAAAGGGGCGGAGGCCUGACCCAGCCAUACCGCGUGGGUGAAGAAGGCCUUCGGGUUGUAAACCCCUUUUGUUGGGAAAAAAAAGCAGCAGGUUAAUACCCCGUUUUUCUGACGGUACCCAAAGAAUAAGCACCGGCUAACUUCG